CAGUCGCCACGGUAAUACGGAGGGGGCUAGCGUCGUUCGGAAUUACUGGGCGUAAAGCGCACGUAGGCGGCUUUGUAAGUUAGAGGUGAAAUCCUGGAGCUCAACUCCGGAACUGCCUUUGAUACUGAGGAUCUUGAGUUCGGGAGAGGUGAGUGGAACUGCGAGUGUAGAGGUGAAAUUCGUAGAUAUUCGCAAGAACACCAGUGGCGAAGGCGGCUCACUGGCCCGAUACUGACGCUGAGGCACGAAAGCGUGGGGAGCAAACAGGAUUAGAUACCCCAGUAGUCUCUGUCUCUUAUAC
rnacentral:rRNA from 1 species